rnacentral:rRNA from 1 species
GACGAACGCUGGCGGCGUGCUUAACACAUGCAAGUCGAACGAAGAGCGAUGGAAGCUUGCUUCUAUCAAUCUUAGUGGCGAACGGGUGAGUAACGCGUAAUCAACCUGCCCUUCAGAGGGGGACAACAGUUGGAAACAACUGCUAAUACCGCAUACGAUCUAAUCUCGGCAUCGAGGAUAGAUGAAAGGUGGCCUCUACAUGUAAGCUAUCACUGAAGGAGGGGAUUGCGUCUGAUUAGCUAGUUGGAGGGGUAACGGCCCACCAAGGCGAUGAUCAGUAGCCGGUCUGAGAGGAUGAACGGCCACAUUGGGACUGAGACACGGCCCAGACUCCUACGGGAGGCAGCAGUGGGGAAUCUUCCGCAAUGGACGAAAGUCUGACGGAGCAACGCCGCGUGAGUGAUGACGGCCUUCGGGUUGUAAAGCUCUGUUAAUCGGGACGAAAGGCCUUCUUGCGAAUAGUGAGAAGGAUUGACGGUACCGGAAUAGAAAGCCACGGCUAACUACGUG